UGCGUAGGCGGAAUUAUAAGUCAGAGGUGAAAGCUCGCAGCUCAACUGCGGAAUUGCCUUUGAUACUGUAAAUCUUGAAUUAGGUUGAGGUUAGCGGAAUGUGACAUGUAGCGGUGAAAUGCAUAGAUAUGUCAUAGAACACCAAUUGCGAAGGCAGCUAGCUAGGCCUAUAUUGACGCUGAGGCACGAAAGCGUGGGGAGCGAACAGGAUUAGAUACCCUGGUAGUCC
rnacentral:rRNA from 1 species